AGCGAACGCUGGCGGCAGGCCUAACACAUGCAAAUCGAACGAUCCUUCGGGAUAGUGGCGGACGGGUGAGUAACACGUGGGAACGUACCUUUAGGUUCGGGAUAACUCAGGGAAACUUGAGCUAAUACCGGAUAAGCCCUUUUGGGGAAAGAUUUAUCGCCUUUAGAGCGGCCCGCGUUAGAUUAGCUAGUUGGUGAGGUAACGGCUCACCAAGGCUCCGAUCUAUAGCUGGUCUGAGAGGAUGAUCAGCCACACUGGGACUGAGACACGGCCCAGACUCCUACGGGAGGCAGCAGUGGGGAAUCUUGCGCAAUGGGCGAAAGCCUGACGCAGCCAUGCCGCGUGAAUGAUGAAGGUCUUAGGAUUGUAAAAUUCUUUUAGCAGGGACGAUAAUGACGGUACCUGCAGAAAAAGCCCCGGCUAACUUCGUGCCAGCCGCCGCUGUAAAAC
rnacentral:rRNA from 1 species